rnacentral:rRNA from 1 species
AGUGAACGCUGGCGGUAGGCCUAACACAUGCAAGUCGAACGGCAGCACAGAGGAGCUUGCUCCUUGGGUGGCGAGUGGCGGACGGGUGAGGAAUACAUCGGAAUCUACUCUGUCGUGGGGGAUAACGUAGGGAAACUUACGCUAAUACCGCAUACGACCUACGGGUGAAAGCAGGGGAUCUUCGGACCUUGCGCGAUUGAAUGAGCCGAUGUCGGAUUAGCUAGUUGGCGGGGUAAAGGCCCACCAAGGCGACGAUCCGUAGCUGGUCUGAGAGGAUGAUCAGACACAAUGGAACUGAGACACGGUCCAGACUCCUACGGGAGGCAGCAGUGGGGAAUAUUGGACAAUGGGCGCAAGCCUGAUCCAGCCAUACCGCGUGGGUGAAGAAGGCCUUCGGGUUGUAAAGCCCUUUUGUUGGGAAAGAAAUCCAUCUGGUUAAUACCCGGGUGGGAUGACGGUACCCAAAGAAUAAGCACCGGCUAACUUCGUGCCAGCCGCCGCGGUAA